UGGCUCUCACAUNGAUGAAGGACGCAGCGAAAUGCGAUAAGUAAUGUGAAUUGCAGAACACAGUGAAUCAUCGAAUCUUUGAACGCACCUUGCGCCCUCUGGUAUUCCGGGGGGCAUGCCUGUUUGAGCGUCAUGUAGACUCAACCCCUCGGGUUUUCCCGCCGGGCUGGACGUGGGCGCUGCCUCUGCCGGCUCGUCUCAAAUGUCUCGGCAGGACGAAGGUUCCUGGUCCAGCGUGAUAUGUUUCGCUCGGCCGGCUCCCUCCCCUGUUCACAACCGCCGUCACCGGCACCUCUUGACUCUGACCUCAAAUCAGGUAGGACUACCCGCUGA
rnacentral:misc_RNA from 1 species